rnacentral:lncRNA from 1 species
GUGCCCUCCGACGGAUCAAGCGAUUUGGUUGAUGAGGGAUCAGAUCAACCGAGUUCGAAAAACUUUACUGUAGAACGAGUUUAGCUGAAUGAGCUGAAUGGAUGAAAUGAACAGUAGUUUGGGUCGGUUGAAGAGUUGAAUGCCUUUAUAUAUUGAAUUUAAAUUUAGAAAUUUGUAUAAAAGAGAGUGUGCCUUUAGGGCAUACAUACUCUGAAAAACUAACUUAGAACUAUUCCUACGAAAAGCAGUAGAUGCGGGAAAGAAAAAGAUUACAAGUGAACAACUCUUAGAAAUGCGAAGAAAAUGUAGAGGAAAUAAAAGUGGUCUUCUGUUCUCGGGGGACAAGACCUCUCUUUUAGGUGUUAUUUGUAUAUUUAUAGUCUGCUAUUAUUGUUCAGUUAUUGCCCACGAUCGACCACUUUUCUAUUUUUGCGUGCCAUUACGAGCCGAUCCAAAACUACCCGUAACCGCUUGCAGUUACGCCU